rnacentral:rRNA from 1 species
GACGAACGCUGGCGGCGUGCUUAACACAUGCAAGUCGAACGGUGAAGCGCCUUCCUUUUUGGUGGGUGUGGAUGAGUGGCGAACGGGUGAGUAACACGUGAGUAACCUGCCCCCUUCUUCUGGAUAACCGCAUGAAAGUGUGGCUAAUACGGGAUAUUCUGGGUCUGUCGCAUGAUGGGUCUGGGAAAGAUAUUGUUUCGGUGGGGGAUGGGCUCGCGGCCUAUCAGCUUGUUGGUGGGGUGAUGGCCUACCAAGGCGGUGACGGGUAGCCGGCCUGAGAGGGUGGACGGUCACACUGGGACUGAGACACGGCGCAGACUCCUACGGGAGGCAGCAGUGAGGAAUAUUGCACAAUGGGCGCAAGCCUGAUGCAGCGACGCCGCGUGAGGGAUGGAGGCCUUCGGGUUGUGAACCUCUUUCGCCAGUGAAGCAGGCCUGCCUCGUUUGUGGGUGGGUUGACGGUAGCUGGAUAAGAAGCGCCGGCUAACUACGUG